GUCCGAAGCUUCUAGAAAAGACGGCAGAUUUUAUUUAAACUGUAUUCGUUAAAUGGCCAUUUUAAGUAUUAUGUAUCUAUUACAAUGAUGACUUGCUAUAUAAAGCUCAGACAAACACUGGAUAAGGCUGGUUACUCUCAGCCAGUGAGCUAAGCCCUGCACUGUACCAGCUGAUCACUCUCAGCCAGUGAGCUAAGCCCUGCACUGUAUCGGCUGAUCACUCUCAGCCAGUGAGCUAAGCCCUGC